rnacentral:lncRNA from 1 species
AGCAACAACAAGAACAUAUUAAUAUAAUUCCACAAAAUAAAAUUUGAAAAGAAUAGAAUACAAGUAAAUCGUAAUCAUACCUUAAAGUUGAAAAAAACCUAUUUGCUAUAAAACUCAAAUCCAUAUAUCCAAUUCAUAAUGAAAAUUAAUUAUUUUAAUUCUCAUAUUCUGAAAUAACAUGUGUCGAACAUUCAAAGUAGCACUUCCUGGAAACUUAACAUUUGUUAAGGAAAAAAGGGGGAGGGUUUCAACUCACAAGGGUAGUUUUGGUUGGUGUGCAAACUUCUUCAACAAUGUACAUUCGAUCCUCUCAAUAACUCCAUGACACACCAGCAAAUGUGGUGUUGUGAAUGACGUCGUUUCUUUCUUAUUUUUUCUAGCACUGAAUAUGAACUUUUAAAUAAAAAGUGUUUCUUCCAAACGUAUUUUACACGACACAUGAAUUUAAAUUAUUCGGACGUUGAUAUGAAUUACGAACAACAAACACUGGUUUUAAUGUGGUAAAAUCAGGGGCGGAUUUAGAAUUUGAAGGUUGUAGGUGCUCACUUACUUUUAAAAAAAAAGUAUAUUGCUACCAGAAUCAAACCCACACCACUUCAAGCAUCAAGGUGCUAAGUUCAAAGCCAAAGCACCCAACAACUAUUUUUAUCUAUGAGUGCUUCAAUACAUUAUAACCGAUUUUACUGUAUUUUUUAUAUAAAUAUAUAAAAAUUUUACUGGGUCAAUGAGUGCUCAAGCAUCCGGUAUGGACCAAGUGAAUCCGCCCCUUCGCAAAGUUAAAGUAUAUGAGGUAAAAUCGACCUAGGAACACGUGGCACCAAUAAAGGAGCCGACAUGAGGAUCCGUCACAACAAGGAAUGCAAAAGCUACAAGAAGCCUCUCCCGACUAGAUAGAACGCCGUGGAUCGUCACCUUUGGUGACGUACCACAAGGGACAAACAACAGAGAAACUUGUUAAGUUGCUCAGGUACGUCAACGGAUCUAUACGGGGCAGAGCAUAACAUGAAUAUCAGUUGGCAACCCAACUAACAGAAUAAGACGCAUUUGGGCUCUAGUGUCAUAUUCACUACUAAAAAAAAUGGCAAAUUCGAUCACAAGUUGUGGUCGGAAAAAAUCGACCACUGAUGAUUGGAUUUUAUUUUUUUUAAUUUUAUUUUUUUAAAGCGACCACAAGUGGUAGCUUUUUUAUUUUAAAAAAUUCAAAUAAUUAUAACAAUAAUUUUAAUAAUAAUUAUUAUUUAUUUAACAAAUAAAAAUUUUAAAAAAAUAAAAUAACCGACCACUAGUGGAGUGGUCGUUUUUUGUUAAAAAAAAUAUAAUUAAAAAAUAUUUACAAAAACCGACCACUUGUGGU